rnacentral:rRNA from 1 species
UGGACUGCGGAGGAUCAUUAUCGAGUUUUGAAGUGGGCUUGAUGCUGGCGUCUUCACGACGCAUGUGCUCAGCCCCGCUCUCAAAUCCACUCUACACCUGUGCACUUUCAAAGUUUGUAGUCCUCCGUAAUGGGAGCCGCAAAUCAUUUAUGGUUUGCUGGGACUGCACUUUGCCCUUUAUCACAAACUAUAUGCAUUGUCUUGUAGAAUGACAAGCCUCUUAGUGGGCGAAACUUAAUACAACUUUCAACAACGGAUCUCUUGGCUCUCGCAUCGAUGAAGAACGCAGCGAAAUGCGAUAAGUAAUGUGAAUUGCAGAAUUCAGUGAAUCAUCGAAUCUUUGAACGCACCUUGCGCUCCUUGGUAUUCCGAGGAGCAUGCCUGUUUGAGUGUCGUGAAAUUAUCAACUCUCUUACUUUAUUGUAAGAUAAGCUUGAACUUGGGAAUUGCUGGCGAAAAUCAGCUUCUCCUGAAUGCAUUACCUGGAAUGAAAUUCGUACCGUAUAUGCGCAAGGGAUAAUGUGCCGCACUGUGCAUGCUCGAAUUGCGCUGGACUUCUAAUUCGUACCUUGCACGUUGACAAUUUCGAUCCAUUAUU